CUGGCAGCAGUAGCCUGCUGAGAUAAGCAAGCACAACACGCAGUAUUUACAUGUACUGUCCUGGCUUUCCCAUUAAAAUGUUUGUAGUACAGUACAGAAACGUGGAUGUGCUUACUGUGCAGAUCUCCAUAAAAUUACUUCCUUGCUCAGCUGGAGUAUUGUGGAAAUCGACUGAAGACAUCGGCAUAUGUUUAUACUUACAAAUUUUCCAUACCAAGCAAGGGUCCCAUUCACUGGAUUGCAUAUGUUCCAAAGAGAGAGACUUCUACCUGCAGCAGAGACAGAAAUCGAGCCCAGAUCAUGAAUCCAGUCCUUCACCCCAGGACUACACUUCCACCUUCUCUCUAUGCAUGAGUCUUAUUUCCAUAUUUCAUCUCAUUAAUGAUUGCUUCUCACAGUUGCAUGCUGAUUAUCCUGCCA
rnacentral:lncRNA from 1 species